GGAAUAUUGCACAAUGGGGGAAACCCUGAUGCAGCGACGCCGCGUGAGUGAAGAAGUAUUUCGGUAUGUAAAGCUCUAUCAGCAGGAACGAGACAAGACGGUACCUGACUAAGAAGCCCCGGCUAACUACGUGCCAGCAGCCGCGGUAAUACGUAUGGUGCAAGCGUUAUCCGGAUUUACUGGGUGUAAAGGGAGCGUAGGCGUUCUGCCAAGUCUGAUGUGAAAACCCGGGGCUCAACCCCGGGAGUGCAUUGGAAACUGGCGGACUGGAGUGUCGGAGAUGUAAGCGGAAUUCCUAGUGUAGCGGUGAAAUGCGUAGAUAUUAGGAGGAACACCAGUGGCGAAGGCGGCUUACCGGACGAUAACUGACGCUGAGGCUCGAAAGCGUGGGGAGCAAAC
rnacentral:rRNA from 1 species